AGUGAACGCUGGCGGUAGGCCUAACACAUGCAAGUCGAACGGCAGCACAGUAAGAGCUUGCUCUUACGGGUGGCGAGUGGCGGACGGGUGAGGAAUACAUCGGAAUCUACUUUUUCGUGGGGGAUAACGUAGGGAAACUUACGCUAAUACCGCAUACGACCUACGGGUGAAAGCAGGGGAUCUUCGGACCUUGCGCGAGUGAAUGAGCCGAUGUCGGAUUAGCUAGUUGGCGGGGUAAAGGCCCACCAAGGCGACGAUCCGUAGCUGGUCUGAGGGGAUGACCAGCCACACGGGAACUGAGACACGGCCCAGACUCCUACGCGGGGCAGCAGUGGGGACUAUUGCGCAAUGGGCGCAAGCCUGAUCCAGCCCUACCGCGUGGGUGAAGAAGGCCUUCGGGUUGUAAAGCCCUUUUGUUGGGAAAGAAGAGCAGCUGUUUAAUACCCCGCUGUUCUGACGGUACCCAAAGAAUAAGCACCGGCUAACUUCGUG
rnacentral:rRNA from 1 species